AGGUUAUGGUUGCUACUGUCCGAUGUGAACAAAUUGCCAGCGAGAAGUACCAGAAUUAUUAGCUGCAAAGGAGGAAUGGCAUCAAUGGAAAGAGGAUACGAAUCGUAGCACCACUCUUGAAUUUGUGAAAUGGCUCAGUUCACAACUUGAUACUUGUUUGUCAGAGUAUGAUGCUGAAACCACUUAUUAUAAUGAAGGUCCAAGAUCUACAUACCAAAAUCAACUUAAA